rnacentral:pre_miRNA from 2 species
UGGUUUUGUGAGAUGUUCAUUGGUUACAUAAAAUAUUCAGUGACCAUCUCUAAAACUAAC